rnacentral:rRNA from 1 species
UGGGGAAUUUUGGACAAUGGACGCAAGUCUGAUCCAGCAACGCCGCGUGCAGGACGAAGGCCUUCGGGUUGUAAACUGCUUUUGUACGGAACGAAAAGCCUUCUUCUAAUACAGGGGGGUCAUGACGGUACCGUAAGAAUAAGCACCGGCUAACUACGUGCCAGCAGCCGCGGUAAUACGUAGGGUGCAAGCGUUAAUCGGAAUUACUGGGCGUAAAGCGUGCGCAGGCGGUUGUGUAAGACAGGUGUGAAAUCCCCGAGCUUAACUUGGGAAUUGCACUUGUGACUGCACGGCUAGAGUGCGGCAGAGGGGGAUGGAAUUCCGCGUGUAGCAGUGAAAUGCGUAGAUAUGCGGAGGAACACCGAUGGCGAAGGCAAUCCCCUGGGCCUGCACUGACGCU